AGGCUUUGAGCUGCCAACGAUGACAUAACCCUGUGUCGUUGACCCCAACAGUGACACUCCCUCCCCCCUACGAUAUAAGUGAAGCGAGGGCUGACACCAUUGGCAGUUAUUUCUUUGUCUGCUGUAUCAACACCGCGUAAUGGAGUGACCCUGACCUCCUUACAUCAGCUGCUGGAAGCAGCGCUGAACUCAAUAGUACAACUGUACACACCAACCACAGUCGACAGUGAAGCGAUAUUACAAGGUCCACCCUGCGGCCAUUCCUACCCAGCCGCCGGAAUAUAAUGGGGGGCGUGUGACUUGCCUCUGUGACAGGGCACAGUCAACUUUGACCUUAUCUACGCUGCCUGUGGCACGUCUCAUAGACGAGACUUCGGUCAGUUGGACACGAGAUUGGUGCUGGGUUACUGACAGGUGCAGGAGACAGGUGUAAAGUUUACCUGACUACCUACCAUCCAUGUUCUCUGUCGUCUGCUGUUUGGAGAGCUGUUGAAGAACGACGGCAGUGAAGAACGUCUGUUUUCAAGCUAACAGCACAAACCCAGACAUGAAUAUCUCAAACUCCGAGCAUCCAGUUAUCCAAGCAGUUCCUGGAGUUCAUGCUGGUCCAGAUACAGGUGGACUCGAAGUGAUACUAUUCGCGAUUCUGGGCAUGCUGAUGUGUAUAAUUGGUGUCCUGAGUGCUGUGUACGCUGCCAACAAAGACUGUUCGAAGAAGUCCAAAGCUCGUGCAGAGGCAUUGUGUGAAUGUGGAGAAGGUCGUGGUGGUGGUGGUGGUGGUGAUAGUGGGAUGAGCAAGAAGCUCAUCGAGGCUGUGAAGGGUAGUGAGGGAUUAUGAGGGAUGGUGAUAUGUUAUGAAGUAUGAGAACAACAAUCUAUUGAUGCUGUGUACAUGAAAUGUCAGAUGGCUGGCGUGUAGUCCACAUGGAGUCUAUGUUCUCCAAUGUUAGAUGGGUGACGAUAGUCGUGGUGCUAAAAAAUCAGAAUGAUGAUGAUGAUGAUGAUGAUGAUGAUGAUGAUGAUGAUGAUGUUUAGUAGUACUGAUGCAUAUGCGGGAUGUUUAGUAGUAUUGACCUGUCAAAAUGACGAUGUUCACAUACUAAAAUGUCAAGUAGAAGAAUCUGAUAUAUUCAUAUAUCAUUAAUAUUAUUCAUAUUAUCAAAAGGACAGAUCAAGAUAUUCAUACAAAUGAAAUGACAAACAGUUAAAGAUGUUGAAUGGACUGGAAUGGCAGAAAGAUGUAGCUGCUUGUUUACUCCGAUGUGACAGGGGCUGAAAGCACAGAUGUAGGUGUUCGUACACAGAGACUGUACUUAGUCAUCAGUCGUCUGUCUGUGACGAGAUUUGUGCGAGGUCCAGAGAACGCUUGUUGGUGAAAGGACUGUUGGGAUGUCUCCUGAUAUUUUGAUCUCUUGCCACUGCUCUCAAGUUUUAUUUUUUGGUCUAAAAAAUCAAGUUUGUUUUCUUGACUCUUUUUUGCUGACAAAAGUCAGUAUUAUAAUUAAAUUCGCUCUCAUGUUUAAAGUGGGGUUUACAUUGUAUUACAUAUAUAUAUAUUCCUACAUAUUUGUACUUGUUUUCCACGAUGAACUUAAAUGAUACAAGCGAAGUAGUGUGGACAGUGCCAAGAGACUUCAUACUAGUGCUUAUUGCGAUCUAAUCCUAUACUGAGCAGGUAAAUGAAAUGUAUGUAUAAAUUGAGUUUGCAUUGCUGUACAUCGCUACCUCACUGUGUAUUUACCUUCAUACAUCUACCACUAAAUGACCGCCAAACGCCGGGCUUGGAAUCGUUUGGAUAUAAAUGUGUGUCUGUGUGGGACUACGUGAUGCUGGCAGGGGAAGCAGUGCAGUUCGAACACCACCCUUUUGUUAUCUCCCUUUGACACCGGGGAGUGUUUUGGCGAACCGUAGGUGGCGCCACAUGAGGGAUGAGUGGAAAACAGGAUAUCAUUUGCAGGAGCUGAUUUAUCAGUGCUGGAGCGCCGCGCGCGUGGGUCCGGCAUGUCAAGCGGAAACCCGGACACGUAACCGCCAUCAGCAGCUGACGUCGAGCGCCCUCCCUCCCUCCCCGUCUCUUCCUCCCCAACCACCCCAUCACACCCCACCCCACCCCAGCCAAAUGUGCACGUGCAGCAGGAGGCACGUUCGUCCUCGUCCUGCUGGCGUGUGCGUCGCUCGUGUUAUCGGUGAUGUUAUCGAGAACGUUGUCGGAGCAAAGUGCACAUCGUUGGCCUGGUGUCCACUGCUUGUCCUCCCCUCUACGAGUUGUUUCUACAGUCUGGCGACACACUGGAUGAAUGGCAAGGGUGGCUGUGAAUGUAGGUUCCACUACAGACAAUAAAGCCUUAAAAAAGAAGGCACAUACCCUUCCUGCAUUUAUUCGGACCAUAAGUCUGACAAUAAUUUCUACAAAUAUGUCACAUGAUUCACCUACUUACCACGUGACAUUAUAAACUAUUUGGAUGCAUAUAUGAUUCUCUCUUUUCUAUUUUAUCUUUUCAGAUCGAGUUUUGUACUUGUCAAAAGAUAAAGAUUUUUUUUUUUUGGAAGGGGAGAGGGGUUGAACUCAUGUAAUGAAUACAAAUGUAAUCUGUUAGCUGGAGGCUUCAGUCGAGCAUGAAAAGUGACGGCAGCUCAUCUUUUUUUUUGUGUUUCAUGUCAUAAUGUGCUGAAUGUAUAAUUAUACUCCCCUGUAUUAAAUAAACUUGGUCAAGAUAUAUA
rnacentral:lncRNA from 1 species